rnacentral:rRNA from 1 species
UACGUAGGUGGCAAGCGUUAUCCGGAAUUAUUGGGCGUAAAGCGCGCGCAGGUGGUUUCUUAAGUCUGAUGUGAAAGCCCCACGGCUCAACCGUGGAGGGUCAUUGGAAACUGGGAGACUUGAGUGCAGAAGAGGAAAGUGGAAUUCCAUGUGUAGCGGUGAAAUGCGUAGAGAUAUGGAGGAACACCAGUGGCGAAGGCGACUUUCUGGUCUGUAACUGACACUGAGGCGCGAAAGCGUGGGGAGCAAACAGG